ACGGGUGAGUAACGCGUGAGUAACCUGCCUUCAAGAGGGGGAUAACAUUCUGAAAAGAAUGCUAAUACCGCAUGACAUAUCGGAAUCACAUGAUUUUGAUAUCAAAGAUUUUAUCGCUUGAAGAUGGACUCGCGUCCGAUUAGUUAGUUGGUGAGGUAACGGCUCACCAAGACCGCGAUCGGUAGCCGGACUGAGAGGUUGAACGGCCACAUUGGGACUGAGACACGGCCCAGACUCCUACGGGAGGCAGCAGUGGGGGAUAUUGCGCAAUGGGGGCAACCCUGACGCAGCAACGCCGCGUGAAGGAUGAAGGUUUUCGGAUUGUAAACUUCUUUUAUUAAGGACGAAAAAUGACGGUACUUAAUGAAUAAGCUCCGGCUAACUACGUGCCAGCAGCCGCGGUAAUACGUAGGGAGCAAGCGUUGUCCGGAUUUACUGGGUGUAAAGGGUGCGUAGGCGGCUUUGCAAGUCAGAUGUGAAAUCUAUGGGCUCAACCCAUAAACUGCAUUUGAAACUGUAGAGCUUGAGUGAAGUAGAGGCAGGCGGAAUUCCCCGUGUAGCGGUGAAAUGCGUAGAGAUGGGGAGGAACACCAGUGGCGAAGGCGGCCUGCUGGGCUUUAACUGACGCUGAGGCACGAAAGCGUGGGUAGCAAACAGGAUUAGAUACCCUGGUAGUCCACGCUGUAAACGAUGAUUACUAGGUGUGGGGGGUCUGACCCCUUC
rnacentral:rRNA from 1 species